CUUCCAGCUCUGACUUAUCCCAACCCUUUUGAUUGACAGCAGGUCAGAAUUGGGAGAAAAAGGCCUUUGAAUUUGUGUGUAAAAUGGUUAAGAUGCACUAAUUUUGUCUUGUAAGCAAGUGUUUAUCCAGCAAAUGCUUUUUAGAGAGCAUUUUUUCUUUUUCCUGGUAGAAUGAGGAAUUCACUGAGCUGGCCACCGAGUCCUAUUUACAGAGCUAUAUAAGUUAACAGGGUGAAGUCACUGCCAGAGCUUGACUUCCUGCUAUGAAAAAGCCAGUUAAAUAUAUAUAGAAUUAGAAACUGGUAAAGUUGGAAGAAAACACUUCUGAUCAUGCGGUCUUAUGCUUUUCAAGCUUCUCACCAUGGCACCUAAUUACAAAAAUGUAACCUAUGAAAACCAGGAGGAGCAGCUGUAGUUGUUUCAAGAGAGGGGGUUGGAGCUGGGCUCACCGCUUCUGCAGAACUCUGCAAAGCCCGUGAGCGCACCUCCCCUUCAACAGUGUUCAAGGAUCAUCAGAUUGGAGAAACUGACUCAGUGGAACUUAAAACAUACUUGGUCCAAAUGGCUUCAUCAAGGUUUGAGAAGUCACCCAGGAGUGUUUGAAUCCAAGGUGCUGUAUGACGCUGCAUAAGAGUAUGGGCUCUGGAUUCAGACUGCUUGGGUUGAAUCUUAGCUCUACAAUUUCCUGUAUGGCCUCAAAACAAAUCUAUAUUCUGCUUCACCCAUCAAUUGUAUACUCAGUUGUGUAUCUAAAAAGGAUUAACGAGCACCUACAUUUUCUGGGAACUGUGUGCCACUCAAGGGAUACAAGAUAUGGCUUUCUUCCUUAGUAGAUAAUACAGGAACUGACUUCAUGAGGGGAGAGAAAGACCAGCCGGAGUUGUGGCAGAUUGCUGAGAUUAGGUCCCUGCUAUGGACAAGUACUAGUUUCCCAAGUACAUUGACCGAGCAUGAGAAGCCAACACCACGGGAAGUCAUUCUGCGCCUACACUCCAUGGGACAUCUUCAUCCUCUCUUUUCUCAUCAUUUCCUCUGGACUCACUCUCUUCUGUGAAUAUAGAAGUCAACGACUGCAGAUCUGAAUUGCCUUGGAUUUGGAAACAAUUUACAUCUAUAGUAACCAUUAAUAAGUUGUGUGAUAUGGUAAUAAUUGUGAUGUAUGUGUGAUGAUAGUAAAUACAGUUGAAGUGAGGCCAGCUAUGGCCACCCAAGGAUACGGUAACCGUGCCUUAGCGCCUUGAUUGAGUGUGUUUUUAGCAGCUCGCAGCUGCUGUAUUUUUUUUAUUCCUGGUUUGCAAUUAUACUCCAAAUAUAUAAGGUUGCCAAGCCGAUGGGUUCCUUAACAGACCAGGUACUAAAGCAGUGAGCUCAUUUCUCUCAUUCCUGUACUAUUAUGUUCAUCUGUAGAGUUCAAAACAGAGCUUGUACCAUGUGGUGGGUAAGAGACUGGGCUCUGUAACCUGGCCUGGCAGCUUGCAUAUCCUUCCUCAACCACUUAUCAGCUGUGUGACUUUAGGCAGGUUGUUUAACUUUUCUGUGCCACGAUUGUCUUCUUAUAAAAUAAAGGUAAUGAAAGUGCCUAACUAAGGGGCUAUCGUGAAGAAUAAAUAUGUGGCAUCCAUAGCGCCAUGCUCGGUACAUAGUAAGCAUUCAGUGAAUGUUGGCUUUUGUUAACAUUGUUAUGGCAAACCGGACCUGUAGAUACUUGGUGUUUCAUUGAAUCACUACAGGUGCUCCAUAUACAUGAUCCAUCUUUAAUUCUACUUCCU